CGCACAUUGCGCCCUUUGGUAUUCCGAAGGGCAUGCCUGUUCGAGCGUCAUUAUCACCCCUCAAGCCCCCGGGCGUUGAUGUUGGACGGCUGGUCGGCUUGCGUCGACCCCUCCUAAAGAUAAUGACGGUGGCCUCGUUGGACCCCGGUACGCUGAGCCUUAUGGGCAUGUAUCGGAUUAGGGACUUCGGGCUCCGGUCUAGGUCUACUGUCUCUGGACGGUGGACACCCCUUCUAAGGUUGACCUCGGAUCAGGUAGGAAUACCCGCUGAACUUAA
rnacentral:misc_RNA from 1 species